GUGGCUUCAGAUCUUAAUUUUAAUAAUGCGUGCACUUUUUUUAAUUGUGUUUGCAAUGUUUAAUUGAAGCCUAUAAUUGUGUUCCCCUCGCUAUCCACUGCUGUAAUUUUAAUGCGGUAAUUGGACGUCGGGGAACUAAAUUU